rnacentral:rRNA from 1 species
UACGAAGGGGGCUAGCGUUGCUCGGAAUUACUGGGCGUAAAGGGCGCGUAGGCGGACAGCUUAGUCAGAGGUGAAAGCCCAGGGCUCAACCUUGGAAUAGCCUUUGAUACUGGCUGUCUUGAGUUCGGGAGAGGUGAGUGGAAUGCCGAGUGUAGAGGUGAAAUUCGUAGAUAUUCGGCGGAACACCAGUGGCGAAGGCGACUCACUGGCCCGAUACUGACGCUGAGGCGCGAAAGCGUGGGGAGCAAACAGG